rnacentral:rRNA from 1 species
GACGAACGCUGGCGGCGUGCUUAACACAUGCAAGUCGAGCGGGGUUUUCGGACCUAGCGGCGGACGGGUGAGUAAUGCGUAGGAAGCUGCCCGAUAGAGGGGGAUACCAGUUGGAAACGACUGUUAAUACCGCAUAAUGUCUACGGACCAAAGUGUGGGACCUUCGGGCCACAUGCUAUCGGAUGCGCCUACGUGGGAUU